GUUGUAGCCCAGUCGGUAGAGCGUCGAAAUUGUAAUCCAAGGGUCGCGGGUUUGAUUCCCGCCUAGUUCA